UACGUAGGGUGCGAGCGUUAAUCGGAAUUACUGGGCGUAAAGCGUGCGCAGGCGGCUUGCCAAGUCAGAUGUGAAAGCCCCGGGCUUAACCUGGGAAUGGCGUUUGAAACUGGCAGGCUAGAGUUUGGCAGAGGGGGGUGGAAUUCCACGUGUAGCAGUGAAAUGCGUAGAGAUGUGGAGGAACACCGAUGGCGAAGGCAGCCCCCUGGGCCAAAACUGACGCUCAGGCACGAAAGCGUGGGGAGCAAACAGG
rnacentral:rRNA from 1 species